CAGCUCCAAUCUGGCUCAUAGCCUGGGAACUUCCAUAAGCUGCAGGUGCACCCCUAAAAAGCAAAAAUAAAUAAAUAAAUAAAUAAAUAUCAACUUGUUUAGUCCUACACAGGAGCAAUUUCACUGUCAUUUUGCAAGUUGAAUGUUAUAAUUUCACUAAUCAAAAGUAGGUUUGUUUUGAAAAGGAACUGAAAUUCAGUUGUGAUAAGUAUAGAAAGUAAAUCGAAGUGUACAAAACAUCCCAGUUCUCAUUGCCUUUAAGUCAAAUUAAGAUUGACUCCAAUCUUAUCAGACUUCCAGGAAACGCCAUCUCAGUCAUUAUUGGUGUCCCAGAUUUUCUUCAGUUCAUAACAGCAUUCAGAGGUUACAUGGUGUGAUCUCAAAAAAGAGUCUCCACUUGCUGGGCCAUUGUGGUCCCAGCCGACAUAUCAUAGUUAACCAUCAAAAUUGGUACUUCCUUGAAUGUGCAGGGCCCUCUGCUCCAUAUCAAGUGGGAAUAGAGAUUUUUGCAAAAGCUGGGGCUGCCAACACCUAGGGUGCCUCCUCCCUCAGGAACCAUGAAUCCUCUGAGGUCUCCCUGCAUUUUUGCUGGGUUGUCAGUCACAGUGGUGCACUUCCUGUGCACAAAGGGCUGGCUGGAGAGGUGACAUGCUUACCAAGCCCUGUGCCCCAAUGUGGGGCUGCACAAAGGCUCAUCUUCUCAGAAGCACUGUUCCUUUAGGUCUGCAUUGUGGGGGGUGGGGAGGUGGCACAAGCCUUUUUCCAUUGGUGCAAAGGCUUCACAUGUAGAAUAAUGGGGCACCACCUCCUCCCUGCCCUUCCUCCUUCAUCCCUUCCUCCUCCCAGCAUUUCCUCUCCUACACUUCCUCUCCUCUCUUCCGCAUUUCAUUCUUCCUGCACUUCCUCCCCCUGCACUUCCUCUGUCCUGCGCUGUGCUGUGGCAGAACCCAGCAUCAGGCGCUGCCCUGCAGAGGCCUCAAAGAGAAAGGAGAAGGGAGUCUCCUUCUGCCCAAGAAGGGAGUCUCUCCUCUCAGUUUUGCUGCUUCUCACAGGCACAGUUUUCUCAUUCUCUUCCAGGACACCACAGCACUAUCUCCUUUGAAGAUUUAGGAUUUUGCUAAAGCCUUUGGGUGCUGGAGUUUGGCUCUCUGCCCAGCCUAGACAUUAUGGAAAGGAAUUACCCAGGCCUGGCUACCAGUUUGGAACAUGAGAUGGGAAAACUAAGAGUGAAAUACAUCAGAAUCCCCAACCACAGAGGUAUUAUGGGGAAAUAUCCAAUUUUGAUGUCUAUGAUCUGCCCAUUUCUCCCACCUCAAAGGAGGAGGAACCAGUUGGCUAGAUGGUCAUUGGCUAGACCAUCUGUCCUGGACCUGAGGAGUGCUGACCAGAAUAAGGAGGAGGAGGAGAAGGGAGCCCAGAAGCCACAAAGAGUGGGGAAAAAAGGCUGCGACGAUCCCAGAGGAGAGCAAAGAAGAGUGGGGAGUCCUGAGGAAGAAGGGAGUGGCUGGCGUGAGUGUCCCUGCAGGAUGUCCUGCUGUGCAUUAUGUAUUUGGAGUCUCCCACUAACUCCUGCUCAAGUUAGCAGCCCCAGCCUUUGCAAGUGAAGCCCUCAUUGCUUUUCCAGGCUUUUGGGGUAUUGAUCAAAGCAGAGCUGAUUGGAAGAAGGGGGGAGCUGGUACAAGUUGCCAGGAGCUAAUGGUCCAGAAGGAGGACUGAGGUGUGUUUGUAUUGCUUACCAAUGCAAAUCAUAGGCAAAUUAUUUUUUAGUUGGGUGACCCUGUUGGUGGGGCCUUUGUUUUUGUUUUUGUUGUUGAUUUGUUUGUUUUGUUUCUCAAGCUUAGGUAGUACUGUAUUUCACAGAAGAGAAAAAGUCACAGAAAUGUUAAAUAAUUUGCUCAGUGUCACACAGCUAAUAAGGAGCCUAGCCAGGAUCUGAACCAAAAGAGUCUGACUCCAAAGUCUAAGAUGUUAGCAACCAAACCAUUGCUGUUGAGUAAUGGUUACUCGUUUUUGUUUAUAUCACCAAGUCCAAACAGAGUUCAACUGUCCCAGCCACAAUUCAAAGGCAGAAGUGCCCAGAUGUUAGAGAUUAAUCCAGAUAGCAAAUGAUGUCUAGCUCAAAGAGUCUUGGAAAUCUUUGUUAAAUGUUUUGGUGGAAGAUUUUGUAAAAAAAAUAGACAAACAGGAACCUCAAUUAGAGUGGGUGGACCAGCAGGGGGAGCUCUCAUGUCCGGUGAUGGGGGCAGAGCCCAGUAGGGAGAAAGUCUCCUCUUCUUUCCUGGCAGGAACUCAGCCAAUGGAAAACCAUGGACUCUGUGUUACCCCAGCCUCCCAGCUUCCUUUACCCUCUAUGAGAGUGUCCUGUUACUGUUACUUUGUCGGAGUGGGGUAGGGGUGGGGGUGCGGGAACACUUGCACAUGGCUCACCAUAGUUGCAAACUCUGAACUGGGAUUCUCUGCUGAUCCCAAGUAAAGCUAUCUUUGGUGGAGAAAUAUCUGGCUAUCUAUUGGUUUCAGGUCAACAGAUCCAAACAUAAUCAAAGUUUAUUUAAAAGUCUCAAAUAGUUUCUUACAAACAAGAAAAGCCUCCAUCCUAAUCAAGUGGAUACAUAUUAAUGUCAAAUAGUCAUUUAAGGUAUUCUAUCUUAUUUGAACAGAUGUUAGAGAUUAAUCCAGAUAGCAAAUAAUGUCUAGCUCAAGGAGUCUUGGACAUCUUUGUUAAAUGAUAAUAUAGUUAAGGUGCCAUACAAUUUCUUUUUGCAUUUUUUAGUAAUUUGAAGUAUUAUUUUCUCUGUCAACCAACAUUUAAAAUACAUUUCUUUCAUGUGAGUGGAAUCUGAUGUGUCUGUUUAGCACCAUAUGGAAAUAAUCAAGUCCCCUUAUGAACCCAACACCAGUUUCAAAGUAGCUUACCCAUUUAGUAUCAGUGGCUAUGCACUUUUUAACUUACAGUUUCACUUUUAAAAUCCCUUUGUUUUCAUUUGGAGUCCACUUCUUUGAUGUAAGCUAAUGACUCUGGCUGGAUCUGGACCAUGCUGGGGUUUGCACCACUGGGACCAGCACUCACUCCACCAGGUGGCCAGCUGUGGGUGGCUUGGAUGGUGUCUGGGAAUGCAGUUUAGUGUUUCCUGGCAGAUGGCCAGCUUUCUCUCUUUGGUUCUGAGACUACCAUGGACUUUUUCAAAUGGCUCAGGCUCAGGUUGCAGAAUUAUUUAGGAACUACUGAAGAUUCCCCACCAGCCUCAUUUUCUGGAGGAGCCCUGGCUGAGAGAACUGUUUCCUUGUUGCAGUUGGGUCUCAUGGCAACCUCCAGUUGACUUUAUUCCCCUGGCCUCACCCUGAGUCCAGGUCAAGGGACCUUGAUUGCUGGGAAAAGAGACAUGGAUGAAGGAAAACCAGAAGCCUGUCCAGGGCACCCCCUGUGAGCCCAUGAGGACCUGAGUCAUACCCCCGAGAAGAUCUGGACUCACCUGACCUAGCAUCACCUUGAUUGGGUAGUUCUUGACGAAUUUAUAGCAACAGUUUGAGUGGGACACCUUAGCCCAGACAAACCGACUGGUUCUGAAAAAAAGGGCUCAAUCACUUUGUGGCUUGUUUCUGGAGCAGCUGACUUGUGUGCCUCACACAGGGGAAGGCUUGCCUGCCCAGCGCUGGCCUCCAGCCUGCCUUGCUGACUCAAGUGCUGUCCUUCUCUAGUCAGAGUUUAAAGAAUGCUGUCAUCAUUUAUAAGGCCCUGUACCUGCAUCGUCAGCAUAAGCCUCUUCCCAUUGUCCCUGGUUCCCAGCCUGGAGGCCAGCUCCUUGUCUGCUGACAAAGGUCUCUGUGACUUUGUCCUUCCAGACACCAGUCCUGACACUGUCCACCCCAGCCAGAUGGCCUUCUGUGUACUCUGUGUGCAUCAUUCUGCCUAGGUUCUGGGCACCUUACGUUUGUUCUGCUCACAGUAUGGUAUUUUAGAAACUAGGUCUCAUUUUUGAAAUCCGAAGUUUCCAUAGAAGAAUAAUAGAGAAAGAAAUUUUCCAAAGACAGCAUUAGGACAGUUUUUUUUUUUU